UCUAUUAUACAAAAGAAUACUCUAAUGUAAGGAGAAAAGUACGAUCAAAUUGAAGCAAAUCUGCGGAAUCAGGUGGCUGAAAGUUGAGACUAUUUAAGUGAUGUAGGGCUGGUUUGAUUUAAAGAAAAAAAGAAAAAAAAGAGAUGACUUCCUAAUGGUGAAUUUCUAGCUUAAGAGUACUAGCUCCACCAUCCAAAUAAAUUCCUCCCGUCCUUAAACAUUACCUUGAGCCCCAUUACAAC
rnacentral:lncRNA from 1 species